GACGAACGCUGGCGGCGUGCUUAACACAUGCAAGUCGAACGGUAAGGCCCUUCGGGGUACACGAGUGGCGAACGGGUGAGUAACACGUGGGUAAUCUGCCCUGCACUUCGGGAUAAGCCUGGGAAACUGGGUCUAAUACCGGAUAGGACCCUGGGAUGCAUGUCCUGGGGUGGAAAGCUUUUGCGGUGUGGGAUGGGCCCGCGGCCUAUCAGCUUGUUGGGGGGGUGAUGGCCUACCAAGGCGACGACGGGUAGCCGGCCUGAGAGGGUGACCGGCCACACUGGGACUGCGAUACGGCCCAGACUCCUACGGGAGGCAGCAGUGGGGAAUAUUGCACAAUGGGCGCAAGCCUGAUGCAGCGACGCCGCGUGAGGGAUGACGGCCUUCGGGUUGUAAACCUCUUUCAGCACCGACGAAGCGCAAGUGACGGUAGGUGCAGAAGAAGGACCGGCCAACUACGUGCCAGCAGCCGCCGUAA
rnacentral:rRNA from 1 species